UAACGCGUGGGUAACCUGCCUCAUACAGGGGGAUAACAGUUAGAAAUGACUGCUAAUACCGCAUAAGACCACAGCACCGCAUGGUGCGGGGGUAAAAACUCCGGUGGUAUGAGAUGGACCCGCGUCUGAUUAGCUAGUUGGUAAGGUAACGGCUUACCAAGGCGACGAUCAGUAGCCGACCUGAGAGGGUGACCGGCCACAUUGGGACUGAGACACGGCCCAAACUCCUACGGGAGGCAGCAGUGGGGAAUAUUGCACAAUGGGGGAAACCCUGAUGCAGCGACGCCGCGUGAGCGAAGAAGUAUUUCGGUAUGUAAAGCUCUAUCAGCAGGGAAGAAAAUGACGGUACCUGACUAAGAAGCACCGGCUAAAUACGUGCCAGCAGCCGCGGUAAUACGUAUGGUGCAAGCGUUAUCCGGAUUUACUGGGUGUAAAGGGAGCGUAGACGGAUGGGCAAGUCUGAUGUGAAAACCCGGGGCUCAACCCCGGGACUGCAUUGGAAACUGUUAAUCUAGAGUGCUGGAGAGGUAAGUGGAAUUCCUAGUGUAGCGGUGAAAUGCGUAGAUAUUAGGAGGAACACCAGUGGCGAAGGCGGCUUACUGGACAGUAACUGACGUUGAGGCUCGAAAGCGUGGGGAGCAAACAGGAUUAGAUACCCUGGUAGUCCACGCCGUAAACGAUGACUACUAGGUGU
rnacentral:rRNA from 1 species